AUUGAACGCUGGCGGCAUGCUUUACACAUGCAAGUCGAACGAGUGGCGCACGGGUGAGUAAUACAUCGGAACGUGUCCUAUCGUGGGGGAUAACUGAUCGAAAGAUCAGCUAAUACCGCAUACGAUUGGAGCGGCCGAUGCCCGAUUAGCUAGUUGGUGAGGUAAAGGCUCACCAAGGCGACGAUCGGUAGCUGGUCUGAGAGGACGACCAGCGACACUGGGACUGAGACACGGCCCAGAGUCCUACGGGAGGCAGCAGUGGGGAAUUUUGGACAAGGGGCGCAAGGCUGAUGCAGCCAUGCCGCGUGUAUGAAGAAGGCGUUCGGGUUGGAAAGUACUUUCAGCGAGGAGGCGUUACUCGCAGAAGAAGCACCGGCUAACUCCGUGCCAGCAGCCGCGGUAAUUC
rnacentral:rRNA from 1 species